UACGAAGGGUGCAAACGUUGCUCGGAAUUAUUGGGCGUAAAGCGCACGUAGUCGGCCUUGCAAGUCGGGUGUGAAAUCCCCGGGCUCAACCUGGGAACUGCAUCCGAGACUGCAUUGCUAGAGUAUGGGAGAGGGAAGCGGAAUUUCUGGUGUAGCAGUGAAAUGCGUAGAUAUCAGAAGGAACAUCAGUGGCGAAGGCGGCUUCCUGGACCAAUACUGACGAUCAGGUGCGAAAGCGUGGGGAGCAAACAGG
rnacentral:rRNA from 1 species